ACUGCGGAGGGACAUUA
rnacentral:rRNA from 1 species